AGCACCCAGAUGUGGCCGAGUGCUCGGUGUUGGGUUUAUCGGAUGAAGAUUAUGGUCAAGUUGUUUGUGCAGUAAUUGUGCCUGAAGCUAGUGCAAGGGAAAGAGCCAAGCAAGAAUCAAGACCGGCCAUGACCCUUGAAGUGCUUCAGGCCUGGGCUAAAGAUAAGCUUGCACCCUACAAGAUUCCCACAAAAUUAUUUGUCCUCGAUGCCUUCAAGAGGAAUCAUAUGGGAAAGGUGAACAAGAAGGAUCUGAAGAAAGAGCUUGAACAGCUUGAGCAAUGAGACCACACCACUCGAGGGCGAAAACGAAGGCCUCAUACCUAGGUUUAGUAGUGUGUGUAACAAAAUAUUUUGUUGAUUAAUUUUGUAUCAGCUUUUUGUUAGUAGUUGACGAUCAAAAGGCAUGCAUGUAAUAUUUAUGAAUUUUAUCAAUGUCAUUGUAUGGCCCUACUGGUUU